rnacentral:rRNA from 1 species
UACGAAGGGGGCUAGCGUUGCUCGGAAUCACUGGGCGUAAAGCGCACGUAGGCGGAUUGCUAAGUCAGGGGUGAAAUCCUGGAGCUCAACUCCAGAACUGCCUUUGAUACUGGCGAUCUCGAGUCCGGGAGAGGUGAGUGGAACUGCGAGUGUAGAGGUGAAAUUCGUAGAUAUUCGCAAGAACACCAGUGGCGAAGGCGGCUCCCUGGCCCGGUACUGACGCUGAGGUGCGAAAGCGUGGGGAGCAAACAGG